AAAUCCAAGAUGGCAGCACCUCGUCUCAACAGUAAAGCUCUAAUUUGUCCUAUUUAUUUGAGCCAUUCUGUAUAUUUCUGACUCAUUAAAAUGGUCGUACACAGUACUGUCUAAGACACCACAUUGCAAAGGUGUUAGAAUUCAUGAAAUACCGCAAAAUGUCAGUUCCAACUGCCAGCACACUAUUGCUAUUUUAGCAAUCCCACAGUAGUUAGUUCCAGUACUAAAUGCCAGUUCAUUUCCAGUACCACCGACAUGAAGUUACAGCAGGCCUCCUGGUAAGCAUAAUGGUACAUGCACUACUCUGCUAUCUUAGGUUUAUCCAAAUCACCUGUAGCUACUCCCAGCUAGUACGCUACAUACCACCAACAGGAGCCCUGGCCUCCACAUGCAGAUGAUACCCCCAAGACCUGGGGGUCAUGGAUACCUGGGGGUCAUGGAUACCUGGGGGUCAUAGUUUUCCAGGCUGUGAUGUUCCCUGUCAGAUGCACCUAUCAACAUAACAAUCCAUGUUACACUUAACCCUAACCCAAUCCAUGCAACACUUUCGUGACCAAGACGCAUUGACUUUCCUGGUAAUGAGAAACGCACUCAGACGAGGAGACCACAGAUGUCCCAGAGAUUUGGGUGUUAGGUAUGUACCGUAGUUGGUAAAGAGGUCACUUUGAUAAAUGCAAAGUAGACAACUGUUUGUAACUUUAUUGCAUAAAACUGGUGUAAUAUUAUUGCAAUAAGCAGCAGUGUUUACAUAAUUAGUGUUUUCUUGACAAACCAUUCACCGGAAAAAAAAGACUCUCAUUUCUCCUAAUGUGAAACAUCACUGUAAAUGCGUCACAAAAUGACACAACCUGUGUUACAGGUACAAGCUACCAAGCAUCAUUCAGUGUUGUUUUGUUUUAACCGCAUCACACUUGUCAAUAAAGCCUUAAGUCUUAAUAAUGUUAAGUCAAGCUGCCAUGCACUUCAAUGUUAGUGUUAUUUGCCAAGCAGUAGCCGAUACGUGAUUCUAACGGUUUAGUAGGCCUGUCAUUUCUACAUAUACUUUUGCACUUUCAAAUAGUUAAAUGUUCAUAUAACAUGCUUCAAUAACAGCAUACAACCAGAUCAGGCAAAUGCAGAUGAGUCUAGGCAAGGUAUAUCACAACAACCAGAACCAACCACAUAGCCAGAGAAUAGCCUAUACUAGACAAGUAGUUAAGCUGCAGCACUAAUACUAAACCGCUAGCUCUACGACAAGACUGCCUGAAAGGGUGUUGAUCCUGUUGCUCUAUCAAUGCUACAAUAACCGGCAUAGGUUUAGUUCAGUUUGACACAAUCUGUAACAGUUACAAAUUAUUCUGAUCAAAAUUGAUUAUCUCUGUUAACUAAAUAGCUCGGGGAUUUGAUGUGGGCAGGGAAACAAAGGACAAAUGACAUAGUAAUGACAUAGUAAUGACAUAGUAAUGACAUAGUAAUGACAUAGUAAUGGGCUGCGGUUGCAGUGAUAUACAUGAAAAAAGGCUUAUUACAUUGAUAUUAUAAAAAAAAAAUUUGAAGUUGAUGACCAUAUCAACAAAAUAAGUAUAUUAACACACAGCAUUCAAAUGUUAGUCUCCAAAGACCUCGUUGUUGUCGAGGACCUCAAAAGGAAUUGACAUAAUAUAUACAGGCAUCUUUUCAUUAAAGCCAUUUAAUCAUGCGACUGUACAGAUCAUGUCGGCCUAUUCUCAUCACAGUCGUGUUUAAAGCUUCUUUGCUGGAGAGGAUUUGAAAAUGAAUAAUACGGCAUCAAUGCUGAGUUUAAUGUCAGGGUGCCUUUAAUUAGUUCCAAGCAGCCUCCUCCUCAGCUUUCUGACACUAGACGUCCAA